rnacentral:rRNA from 1 species
GAUGAACGCUGGCGGCGUGCUUAACACAUGCAAGUCGAACGGGAUCCAUCGGGCUUUGCUUGGUGGUGAGAGUGGCGAACGGGUGAGUAAUGCGUGACCGACCUGCCCCAUGCUCCGGAAUAGCUCCUGGAAACGGGUGGUAAUGCCGGAUGUUCCACAUGAUCGCAUGUGAUUGUGGGAAAGAUUCUAUCGGCGUGGGAUGGGGUCGCGUCCUAUCAGCUUGUUGGUGAGGUAACGGCUCACCAAGGCUUCGACGGGUAGCCGGCCUGAGAGGGCGACCGGCCACAUUGGGACUGAGAUACGGCCCAGACUCCUACGGGAGGCAGCAGUGGGGAAUAUUGCACAAUGGGCGCAAGCCUGAUGCAGCGACGCCGCGUGAGGGAUGGAGGCCUUCGGGUUGUAAACCUCUUUUGUUUGGGAGCAAGCCUUCGGGUGAGUGUACCUUUCGAAUAAGCGCCGGC